rnacentral:rRNA from 1 species
GAUGAACGCUAGCGGGAGGCCUAACACAUGCAAGCCGAGCGGUAUUGUUUCUUCGGAAAUGAGAGAGCGGCGUACGGGUGCGGAACACGUGUGCAACCUGCCUUUAUCUGGGGGAUAGCCUUUCGAAAGGAAGAUUAAUACUCCAUAACAUAUUGAACGGCAUCGUUUGAUAUUGAAAGCUACGGCGGAUAGAGAUGGGCACGCGCAAGAUUAGCUAGUUGGUGAGGUAUCGGCUCACCAAGGCGAUGAUCUUUAGGGGGCCUGAGAGGGUGAUCCCCCACACUGGUACUGAGACACGGACCAGACUCCUACGGGAGGCAGCAGUGAGGAAUAUUGGUCAAUGGGUGCAAGCCUGAACCAGCCAUCCCGCGUGAAGGACGACUGCCCUAUGGGUUGUAAACUUCUUUUGUAUAGGGAUAAACCUACCCUCGUGAGGGUAGCUGAAGGUACUAUACGAAUAAGCACCGGCUAACUCCGUGCCAGCAGCCGCGGUAAAAC